GACGGCCACACCAUGCUGAAUAUACCGGUUCUCGUUAGAUCACCGAAGUCAAGCAGCAUUGGGCGCGGUCAGUACUUGGGUGGGAACUCAUCCACCUGGGAACACCGCGUGCCGUU